rnacentral:rRNA from 1 species
CACGUAGGGGGCAAGCGUUGUCCGGAUUUAUUGGGCGUAAAGAGCUCGUAGGUGGUUCGGUAAGUCGGGUGUUAAACCCCCAGGCUCAACCUGGGGACGCCACUCGAUACUGCUGUGACUAGAGUCCGGUAGGGGAGCGUGGAAUUCCUGGUGUAGCGGUGAAAUGCGCAGAUAUCAGGAGGACACCAGCGGCGAAGGCGGCGCUCGUGGGCCGGUACUGACACUGAGGAGCGAAAGCGUGGGUAGCAAACAGG